CCAAGAACCACGAAGUCACACUCAUUUUGGCGCUUGGCACUUAAUCUUCACGCAUCCUGUUUGUUGUCGCUGCUACAGGCCGGCAGCGCAGAGCACAGCCCUGCUGCCUCUCCUCCUCGCUCUCCCGCAGUAUCGCAUUUUCCUCUCUUCUCUCCGCCUGCUCCGGCCCUGGGCGCGGGGACAGGCCGGGCGCCGCGCCCCGCAGCCGGCUGUACCCGCCCGCUCCCG
rnacentral:lncRNA from 1 species